ACGUAGGGUGCGAGCGUUAAUCGGAAUUACUGGGCGUAAAGCGUGCGCAGGCGGAUUGUUAAGCAAGACGUGAAAUCCCCGGGCUUAACCUGGGAAUGGCGCUUGUGACUGGCGGGCUGGAGUACGGCAGAGGGGGGUGGAAUUCCACGUGUAGCAGUGAAAUGCGUAGAGAUGUGGAGGAACACCGAUGGCGAAGGCAGCCCCCUGGGAUGACACUGACGCUCAUGUACGAAAGCGUGGGUAGCAAACAG
rnacentral:rRNA from 1 species